rnacentral:tRNA from 1 species
CGGGAUAGCUCAGUGGGUAUAGCAGAGGACUGAAAAUCCUCGUGUC